CAUCGCGAGAGCAAACAGACGGGGCUAAUUGAUGUCAGGUGCUUUCUCUUGCAGUAUGGUUAAACCAGAGUUGCAAAGCAGAGUAUUACAACAAGAAGGCAGUUAGAGCAUCUGUUUUACAGGACAACACGGGCUGAAUGGGAUGAAUAUGAUGUAGACGACCCCCCCCCCUCCCCCCCCGGUCAAGAAGGUACAGGUACCUAUGGAGCCAGACGCCGUAGUCGACUCUCAGUUGAGACCUCCUGACCCCCUCAAUCCACUUCAGUCCAGUGAAUCAGAUUUCUGAAGAAAAAACAAGAAACUGAAACCCGGCUCAGCCAUAUCUGUGGCUUUUAGGGCUCUCUCUGGACUUUCCUCCCAGGCCAGAACAAUGGCGGGCCCAGGAGCCCAGCUUCCCCACAGGCCCCAGCAAGAGGAGGCCGGGGGCUGGGUACUGAGGGAGCCGCUCAGCAUGCUGAAAUAUGGAGGCGACAGAUAAGGUGGCAGCGGCACAGAGAGGCCCUCUCCCAUGGGCCCAAGGGGAAAUUUGCAGUUAUUAAGAGGAAGAUGAGAGAGAUUAAAUGGCUUUUGUACUCAU